AACGGUAAUGGGUGAAUGGUUGUAGAAAAUUCGGAACCGGAUGAAAUAGGAAUAGUUUGGUUGUGUAACGCCGUGAUUUCUUGGUAUUUCAUGCAUGGUGUGUGUCGGGAAGGAAACCAGUGCCUGUUCUCACAUGACUUGGCAAACAGCAAGCCAUCCACCAUCUGCAAGUACUAUCAGAAGGGCUACUGCGCCUAUGGAACUCGUUGCAGAUAUGAUCACACAAGGCCCUCUGCUGCAGCUGGUGGUGCUGUGGGCUCCAUGUCCCACAGUGUGCCCUCCCCGGGCUUCCACAGUCCUCACCCUCCUUCCGACCUCACUGCACCUAUUGUGAAAACUAACUUACACGAGCCUGGGAAACGUGAGAAAAGAACAUUGGUACUUAGAGACCGAAAUCUCUCUGGCAUGGAUGAAGAAAAGGCUUGCCCAAGUGUGGUGAGUAAUCCAGGAGGCAGUGACGCCCAGAGUAGCCCAGAGAUGAGGCCGAAUUCCUACCUUGAUGCAAUACGGAGUGGCCUUGAUUACUUAGAAGCCAGCAGCUCCUACAGCAGCGAGGAGCAGCUAUGUCCCUAUGCAGCCGCCGGGGAGUGCCGCUUUGGGGAUGCUUGUAUCUACCUGCAUGGGGAAAUGUGUGAAAUCUGUAGGCUACAAGUCCUGCAUCCCUUCGACCCAGAGCAAAGGAAAGCUCAUGAGAAGAUCUGCAUGUCAACAUUUGAACACGAGAUGGAAAAGGCCUUCGCCUUCCAGGCAAGUCAGGACAAAGUGUGCAGUAUCUGCAUGGAAGUGAUCCUCGAGAAGGCGUCUGCCUCUGAGAGGAGAUUUGGGAUUCUCUCCAACUGCAAUCACACGUACUGCUUGUCCUGCAUCCGACAGUGGAGGUGUGCCAAGCAGUUCGAGAACCCAAUCAUUAAGUCUUGUCCAGAAUGCCGGGUGAUAUCAGAGUUUGUAAUUCCAAGUGUGUAUUGGGUAGAAGAUCAGAAUAAAAAGAACGAGUUGAUUGAAGCUUUCAAACAAGGAAUGGGAAAAAAAGCGUGUAAGUACUUUGAUCAAGGCAAGGGGACCUGCCCAUUUGGAAGCAAAUGUCUUUACCGCCACGCUUACCCUGAUGGGCGGCUAGCAGAGCCUGAGAAACCUCGGAAACAGCUCAGUUCUGAAGGCACCGUGAGGUUCUUCAAUUCAGUGCGCCUCUGGGAUUUCAUCGAGAACCGAGAAAGCCAGCAUGUCCCCAACACUGAAGAUGUUGACAUGACAGAGCUUGGGGACCUCUUCAUGCACCUGUCUGGAGUGGAGUCGUCAGAACCCUGAAGAUAGAUGGUUGCCCCUGCAUCUUGGGCUCCGCCAGCAGAGCCUUUCCCAAGUAGGGUGUGCAGAGCUUCCUUUACUGCAGCCCCAGCAGAGGCACGAGUCCUGUUCCAGAAGGGAUGAACAAAUGGAGAGUUCAAGCUGUGAGCUUAACAUUACUCUAAAAGGAAGAAACAGCCAGUAAGCCUACAUUUAAUUUAUUUUAUUAAAAUAACAAUUGAGGAACCAUCAGAUAACUGUAUUUUGUCAGGCGCAAUAAAAACAAAAUUAAAACCCAAA